rnacentral:rRNA from 1 species
UACGUAGGGUGCAAGCGUUGUCCGGAAUUAUUGGGCGUAAAGAGCUCGUAGGCGGUUUGUCGCGUCGAAUGUGAAAACCUGCAGCUCAACUGCAGGCUUGCAUUCGAUACGGGCAGGCUCGAGUUCGGUAGGGGAGACUGGAAUUCCUGGUGUAGCGGUGAAAUGCGCAGAUAUCAGGAGGAACACCGGUGGCGAAGGCGGGUCUCUGGGCCGAUACUGACGCUGAGGAGCGAAAGCGUGGGGAGCGAACAGG